rnacentral:rRNA from 1 species
AGGUAUGCUGGAGGUAUCAGAAGUGCGAAUGCUGACAUAAGUAACGAUAAUGCGGGUGAAAAACCCGCACGCCGGAAGACCAAGGGUUCCUGUCCAACGUUAAUCGGGGCAGGGUGAGUCGACCCCUAAGGCGAGGCUGAAAAGCGUAGUCGAUGGGAAACGGGUUAAUAUUCCCGUACUGGUGGUAACUGCGAUGGGGGAACGGAGAAGGCUAGGUUGUCCGGGCGACGGUCGUCCCGGUUCAAGCAGGUAGGCAGAGUGAUUAGGCAAAUCCGGUCACUUAAUGCUGAGAUGUGAUGACGAACCACCAAGGUGGUGAAGCAAUUGAUGCCCCGCUUCCAGGAAAAGCCUCUAAGCUUCAGGUUACCAACAAUCGUACCCCAAACCGACACAGGUGGUCAGGUAGAGAAUACUCAGGCGCUUGAGAGAACUCGGGUGAAGGAACUAGGCAAAAUGGUGCCGUAACUUCGGGAGAAGGCACGCUGGCGGUAGGUAAAGUCCCUCGCGGACAGAGCUGAAGCCAGUCGAAGAUACCAGCUGGCUGCAACUGUUUAUUAAAAACACAGCACUGUGCAAACACGAAAGUGGACGUAUACGGUGUGACGCCUGCCCGGUGCUGGAAGGUUAAUUGAUGGGGUUAGCGCAAGCGAAGCUCCUGAUCGAAGCCCCAGUAAACGGCGGCCGUAACUAUAACGGUCCUAAGGUAGCGAAAUUCCUUGUCGGGUAAGUUCCGACCUGCACGAAUGGCGUAAUGAUGGCCAGGCUGUCUCCACCCGAGACUCAGUGAAAUUGAACUCGCUGUGAAGAUGCAGUGUACCCGCGGCAAGACGGAAAGACCCCGUGAACCUUUACUAUAGCUUGACACUGAACAUUGAGCCUUGAUGUGUAGGAUAGGUGGGAGGCUUUGAAGUGUGGACGCCAGUCUGCAUGGAGCCAACCUUGAAAUACCACCCUUUAACGUUUGAUGUUCUAACCUAGGCCCAUAAACUGGGUCGGGGACCGUGUCUGGUGGGUAGUUUGACUGGGGCGGUCUCCUCCUAAAGAGUAACGGAGGAGCACGAAGGUUGGCUAAGCAUGGUCGGACAUCAUGCGGUUAGUGCAAAGGCAUAAGCCAGCUUGACUGCGAGAGUGACGGCUCGAGCAGGUACGAAAGUAGGUCUUAGUGAUCCGGUGGUUCUGAAUGGAAGGGCCAUCGCUCAACGGAUAAAAGGUACUCCGGGGAUAACAGGCUGAUACCGCCCAAGAGUUCAUAUCGACGGCGGUGUUUGGCACCUCGAUGUCGGCUCAUCACAUCCUGGGGCUGAAGUAGGUCCCAAGGGUAUGGCUGUUCGCCAUUUAAAGUGGUACGCGAGCUGGGUUUAGAACGUCGUGAGACAGUUCGGUCCCUAUCUGCCGUGGGCGUUGGAAGAUUGAGAGGGGUUGCUCCUAGUACGAGAGGACCGGAGUGAACGCACCACUGGUGUUCGGGUUGUCAUGCCAAUGGCAUUGCCCGGUAGCUAAGUGCGGAAGAGAUAACCGCUGAAAGCAUCUAAGCGGGAAACUUGCCUCGAGAUGAGUCUUCCCUGUCGCUUUAAGCGACCUAAAGGAACGUUUAAGACUAAGACGUUGAUAGGCUGGGUGUGUAAGCGUAGCGAUACGUUGAGCUAACCAGUACUAAUGAACCGUGAGGCUUAACCUG